UCAAGCUACAAAGGGCGCAUGGUGAAUGCCUUGGCAUCAGGAGCCGAUGAAGGACGUGAUAAGCUGCGAUAAGCUUCGGGUAGGCGCACAUAGCCUGAGAUCCGAAGAUCUCCGAAUGAGGAAACUCACAUGGGAAACCCCAUGUAUCAUUAAGUGAAUACAUAGCUUAAUGAAGGUAACCCAGGGAACUGAAACAUCUAAGUACCUGGAGGAAGAGAAAGAAAAAUCGAUUUUCUUAGUAGCGGCGAGCGAAAGGGAAAGAGCCCAAACCGGAAACUUGUUUCCGGGGUUGUGGACAUAACAUAAAAGUGGAGGCUAUUGUAACUGAAGAGAACUGGAAAGUUCCACCGUAGAAGGUAAUAGUCCUGUAAGUGAAACGAGAAGACCACGAGUUAUGAUCCAGAGUACCACGAGACACGUGAAACCUUGUGGGAAGCAGGGAGGACCACCUCCCAAGGCUAAAUACUACCUGAUGACCGAUAGUGAAGCAGUACCGUGAGGGAAAGGUGAAAAGAACCCCGGGAGGGGAGUGAAAUAGAACCUGAAACCGUGUGCCUACAACCGCUCAGAGCCCCUUAUGAGGGUGAUGAGGUGCUUUUUGUAGAACGAGCCAACGAGUUACGGUAUGUAGCAAGGUUAAGUACUUAAGGUACGGAGCCGAAGGGAAACCGAGUCUGAAUAGGGCGACUAGUUGCAUGCCGUAGACCCGAAACCGGGUGACCUAUCCAUGGCCAGGUUGAAGCGAGGGUAAAACCUCGUGGAGGACCGAACCACGUUGCUGUUGAAAAAGCAUGGGAUGAGCUGUGGAUAGCGGAGAAAUUCCAAUCGAACCCGGAGAUAGCUGGUUCUCUCCGAAAUAGCUUUAGGGCUAGCGUCGAGUAUGAGUAGUGGAGGUAGAGCACUGAAUGGGCUAGGGGGCAUAGCGCUUACCGAACCUUAUCAAACUCCGAAUGCCACAUACUUUGAGCUCGGCAGUCAGACUACGAAUGAUAAGAUCCGUGGUCAAAAGGGAAACAGCCCAGAUCGUCAGCUAAGGUCCCAAAGUGUAAGUUAAGUGGGAAAGGAUGUGAGAUUUCUAAGACAACUAGGAUGUUGGCUUAGAAGCAGCCAUUCAUUAAAAGAGUGCGUAAUAGCUCACUAGUCGAGAGAUCUUGCGCCGAAAAUGUAACGGGGCUAAACUUACCACCGAAGCUACGGGCUUGAACUUAGUUCAAGCGGUAGGAGAGCGUCGUAACCGGGCUGAAGUCGUACCGUAAGGAGCGGUGGACUGGUUACGAGUGAGAAUGUUGGCAUCAGUAGCGAGAUGUGGGUGAGAAUCCCACAGGCCGAAAACCUAAGGUUUCCUCAGGAAGGUUCGUCCACUGAGGGUUAGUCGGGACCUAAGCCGAGGCCGAAAGGCGUAGGUGAUGGACAACUGGUUGAUAUUCCAGUACCACUACCAUCGUUAUUAUCGAUGGCGUGACGCAGGAGGAUAGUGUGUGCUAGCUAUUGGAUGCUAGUCUAAGCGUUUAGGCAGUGAGAGUAGGUAAAUCCGCUCUCAUAAUGCUGAGGCGUGAUGGGGAAGGUUCUACGGAACCGAAGUACAUGAUUCCACGCUGCCAAGAAAAGCGUCUAGAGAGAGAAGUAGUGCCCGUACCGCAAACCGACACAGGUAGGUGAGGAGAGAAUCCUAAGGCCGGCGGAAGAAUUACAGUUAAGGAACUCGGCAAAUUGACCCCGUAAGUUCGCGAGAAGGGGUGCCUACGAGAGUAGGCCGCAGAGAAUAGGCCCAAGCAACUGUUUAGCAAAAACACAGGUCUCUGCUAAAGCGUAAGCUGAUGUAUAGGGGCUGACGCCUGCCCGGUGCUGGAAGGUUAAGGGGAACACUUAGCGCAAGCGAAGGUGUGAACUUAAGCCCCAGUAAACGGCGGCCGUAACUAUAACGGUCCUAAGGUAGCGAAAUUCCUUGUCAGGUAAGUUCUGACCCGCACGAAUGGCGUAAUGACUUGGGCACUGUCUCAACUGUAAAUCCGGCGAAGUUGUAGUGCGAGUGAAGAUGCUCGCUACCCGCGAUUGGACGGAAAGACCCCGUAGAGCUUUACUGUAGCUUAGCAUUGAGUUUUGGUAUUGUCUGUACAGGAUAGGUGGGAGACUAGGAAACUAGGGCGUCAGCCUUGGUGGAGUCAACCUUGGGAUACCACCCUGACAGUACUGAAAUUCUAACUGGCGGCCAUGAAUCUGGUCACAGGACAUUGUUAGGUGGGCAGUUUGACUGGGGCGGUCGCCUCCUAAAAAGUAACGGAGGCGCCCAAAGGUUCCCUCAGAACGGUCGGAAAUCGUUCGAAGAGUGCAAAGGCAGAAGGGAGCCUGACUGCGACACCCACAAGUGGAGCAGGGACGAAAGUCGGGCUUAGUGAUCCGGUGGUACCUCGUGGGAGGGCCAUCGCUCAACGGAUAAAAGCUACCUCGGGGAUAACAGGCUGAUCUCCCCCAAGAGUCCACAUCGACGGGGAGGUUUGGCACCUCGAUGUCGGCUCGUCGCAUCCUGGGGCUGAAGUAGGUCCCAAGGGUUGGGCUGUUCGCCCAUUAAAGCGGCACGCGAGCUGGGUUCAGAACGUCGUGAGACAGUUCGGUCCCUAUCCGUCGCGGGCGUAGGAAAUUUGAGAGGAGCUGUCCUUAGUACGAGAGGACCGGGAUGGACUGACCUCUGGUGUACCAGUUGUUCCGCCAGGAGCACAGCUGGGUAGCUAAGUCGGGAAUGGAUAAACGCUGAAAGCAUCUAAGCGUGAAGCCAACCUCAAGAUGAGAUUUCCCAUAGCGUAAGCUAGUAAGAUCCCUUGAAGAACACAAGGUUGAUAGGUCGGGGGUGUAAGCAUGGUAACAUGUUCAGCUGACCGAUACUAAUAGAUCGAGGGCUUGACCAA
rnacentral:rRNA from 1 species